UUAUGGCCAUAUCACGUUGAAAUACCAGUUCCAAUAUGAUCAGUGAAGUUAAGCACCAUUGAGUCUGGUUGGUACCUAGAUGGGUGACUACUUGAGAAUAUCAGGUGCUGUAAG